UGACAAAUGACUGAAACAAUAGGAAUUCGUACGAGAGAUGGAUAGACAAAACAACAGUGAGUCGUCUCCUGAAUAUCGUUCCGGUUUUCGACGAGUACGUUCCGGCCUACGAAUAGGACUUUCAUCACGACUGCUGUCAAGGUUCCUCUGAACGGUUGAAGAUCCAUGGCUUUCUUCUCCAUGAUCUGAUUCGUGACAAAGAUCAACAUCACGGAAAGCCGAUCCUUCUAAAUGUUCCGGAUCCUCAUCUGAUGAUGGCUCAAACACUAAGGAAUCAGAAACCGCUCAGCGCUUUUGUUGCAGUGUGUACUUUCUAUGUAACAUACCUUAUAGUUUCGACCACAAACUAUUCGCCAGACUUGUUAUCCCGCAACAGUGAUGUCAAAAUCUUACCAAAAAUGAAAACCGUCGACAAAAUAAAGCAUAUUGCGUUUCUGAGAGUGCCGAAGACCGGAUCUAGUACAUUAGCAUGUAUAUUUCUUAGAUUUGGUAUAAGGAAUAAACUGGACAUAUACCUACCAAAGAUUAUAUACGUUAGCCGAAAGAAACAGAAACUUCUGUUAGAGGAGAAAAAGUGCUAUGACAUCUUCGUAAUACAUACUUAUUAUGACAGCACGUUUUUCACCGAACAUUGUCCCCAGAGACUCGCCUAUUAUUGGACUUGUUAGGGAACCAAUACAGAGGAUUAUAAGUCAUGCUUUCUAUUUUAAGCAUCUUAGAAAGAGGAAAGAGAUGAAAAGUCUCUCUGAGCAAGAAUUCAUUCACAAAGUUCUAAGAAAUACAGCAAAUUAUGGAGCAGAAAAUGUUAUGGCCACAUAUUUUGGAAUGGAAAGGAAUGGAAUGGAAAGAAACCAAACAAAGAAAGAUUAUAUUCAUCAAUACCUGGAAAGCUUAAAUACUAGUUUCUCGUUGGUUCUUGUUUUAGAAAAAUUUAAUGAAUCUCUGGUACUUCUAAAGCGAAUUUUAAAUUGGUCGUUUGCCGACAUUCUGUACGGAGCUAAGAAGGUAAAUACGUAUGGACAGGUUCCCCUCGGUGAGGAGGAGAAAAAUAAAUUGAUUUCGAACAACAUGCUUGAUUUUGAAAUUUACAAUUAUUUUAUGAAGGAGCUGGAAAGUAAAGUUAAACGAGAAGGGAACGAUUUCCAAUUAGAAGUUCUACACUUUGAAAACAUUUUACACAGGGUAAAAACGUUCUGUGACAACGCUGUUAAUGGUUCCAAAAUAGAGUUUCCAUCUUCAAAAUGGGAUCGCAGUUUUGAAGUACUUUCAUCAGAAUGUGAAUUGAUAUUUAGGAUGGACAUUGCCGACAUAAAGAAGCGGUCUAUAAUAAAUCUUGUAUAAAUGGUUUAUCGUGAUUAUCGUCGACCGCAAAUUUUGUUGACGUCAUAACAGUGCCCAAAAAUAAGUGUACAGACCUUUUGGACCUUUGCCACAGAGUAUAUCCAUUCCGUAAUCAGAAUUGCCAUUCUCAUUUGGAAAUGUGCAAAGUGAUUUUUUAAUCUACACAGAUUUAUCAAACAUGAACAUUUCUUAGGCCUUAUGUGCAAGACUGGCUAGCAACUGGUCAUUUUUAGCAAGGGUUUCUUUAGAGAAACUUGCUUUAGUUAGGCUAAAUGCGAAGACACUCGAUGAAAGCCUUUAGAUUUGAACCGCCAAGUGCGCAUGAAGAAAGUAGUACUUGGUUAAUAUGUAAGCAUUUGCGAUAUCAGGUGGAAAAUGGAUUUGAAGUGAUAUUACAAUAGAAAUCACCGAAGAGAAAUUCGGUGUUAAUAUAUAUAUUGUAAUUACAGAUUUUUUUAAAAAAGAAAUGUCUUCCUACGCUAAAGCGACUUUCAACGAAUGGAAUCGUGCCUAUGAACUGUAUGGAACAAUGCAAGAAUAUUAGUAUGGAAACAGCUUAUCGAUUAUAUGGUGGCUGAUUUCUGCCAUUUCGUGUUGGCGUGUUGGCGAGGCGAAAACACGACAGCACGAAAACACAACAAAUUUUACACGAAAACCCGACGUUUUGAGGAAGCCGACACGAGAUAUUUAUUUGUCGAGUUUUCGUGUUGGCGGGUAUGAAUAUGUCGUGUUGGUGCCCUUUAUCUGUCGUGCUGUCAUGUUUUCGUGUUUUCGCUCCGCCGACACGAAUACACGACAAAUAGGCCUACAUUUUUGUCGAGCUGUCGUGUUUUCGCUCCGCCGAAACGAAAACACGGCAAAUAGGCCUACAUUUUUGUCGAGCUGUCGUGUUUUCGCCCCGCCGACACGAAAACACAAAAUACAUUUUUUGUCGAGUUUUCAUGUUUUCGCCCCGCCGACACUAAAACACGACCGUGUGAAAUAUUUUAUUUGUCGAGUUUUCGUUUUGGCGUCUUCCGUUUGACAUGUGCACAACAAUUACUGAACUAAACACAACAUAACUGCACGCAAACAUAUGCCAACACAACUAGAGAAUAUAAGUUUAAGAGUAAAAAUUGACUUAUAUUCUGUGUAUACUUCGACCGAAUACCAUUUUUAUUACAUAAAAAAUACCGAAAGACGAACGUCGAAUAUCAAACUAAUUACUUCUGCUUUUUCAAUCUUUCACCUACAUUUUAUGUAUUUUCUGAUAAUGUAUCAAAGCCAUUUCUUACUAGAAUAAUAAGAACAUUUUUUGAUAAUGACCAAAUCUGAUAAGUCUUUUUUGUUUUUGUUUCAAUUUUGUUCAGUAUACACAUAUCGAGGAUAAGUAAGUUUAUUUAGGUAACAAGUGACACAUCACCAUUAUUAUAAAAUAUCAGGAUAAAUACUUGAUACACCUGGUAUAUAUCCCAUGACGACAAUACAGUAUUACAAUCAUGGUAUUAAUUUGGUUUGUUACUGACUGUAUUGCUAAGACAGAUCAGUGGAACAGACUACAAAUGGAAUCAGAUUCAAUUCCAACUUAGAAAAAAUAUUUAUAAUCUUGCCCCUAGUGAUAGAAUAAAUAGCCAAAUAGAGUUAUUGUUUUAUACAAUUAAACAACAUUAAUACAAUACAUAUAACAAAUACGCCAAUACGGGUCAUUUGUUUUUCCGUGCAAGUAUUACUGAGUGUAUACAUUUGUCCAACUGACAUCCGUGAUCUGCAAUGAGCCCCUUGCUGUCAGCACUUUCAGUGCUUUGAUUUCAUUGCCUAGAAAGAAUGAAAAUGAUGAUAAUAAAUCGACGAUGUUGAUUAUUAGACUAGGAAAUACUGACUGGUUUCUAUAUUAAUUCAAUCUACAUUCUAACAUGACUCGAUUUGAUUUCCAGUUAAACAAAGAAGGAAAUUAAGCUCUGUAUAUUCUGCGAUAAACAACGGUUGACGCGCGGACCGGUAAGAGAGCAUUAUGAUACAAAUUGGCGCAUGACGUCCGAUAAAUUACUCCUCGGGUAAAUGAAGUCCAGCAUAAUAUUUAUUAAAAUAUGUAAAUGAGCAUGUCAGAAUGAAAACAAUCAAGGCCUUCUUGUGAUUUAUCGUCUAAUUCACCACGGUCCAUCGUUCAGAUGCUUCAGUAUUUAGCCACGAGGGUCAAUUCCUACGCAUCUGAACUCUAACGUGGUAAAUUAGACGAUAAACCACUCGAAGGUCUUGAUUAUUUGUUUAUUCAACGUGUACAAGAAUAGCGUUGGUUACGAAAUAAAUGCAUGUUUUCUAGUCUGAUUCGUUGCUUUCUGAUUUCACCAGAAUGUAUUAAUUUCUUUUGCUUUCACACAUGUCGCAACACUUUUCUGUACCUAAUACAUAUAGAAAUAUACGAAAACUGCGCAGUCAGUCCUUUCGACAUGCAGAAAUGUAAACAAAAUAUAAACAAUAAA
rnacentral:lncRNA from 1 species